UGAGGUAGUCGGUUGUAUUGUU
rnacentral:miRNA from 1 species